rnacentral:rRNA from 1 species
GAUGAACGCUUUCUUCUUUCCUAAUACAUGCAAGUCGAGCGAACGGACGAGAAGCUUGCUUCUCUGAUGUUAGCGGCGGACGGGUGAGUAACACGUGGAUAACCUACCUAUAAGACUGGGAUAACUUCGGGAAACCGGAGCUAAUACCGGAUAAUAUUUUGAACCGCAUGGUUCAAAAGUGAAAGACGGUCUUGCUGUCACUUAUAGAUGGAUCCGCGCUGCAUUAGCUAGUUGGUAAGGUAACGGCUUACCCCGGCAACGAUGCAUAGCCGACCUGAGAGGGUGAUCGGCCACACUGGAACUGAGACACGGUCCAGACUCCUACGGGAGGCAGCAGUAGGGAAUCUUCCGCAAUGGGCGAAAGCCUGACGGAGCAACGCCGCGUGAGUGAUGAAGGUCUUCGGAUCGUAAAACUCUGUUAUUAGGGAAGAACAUAUGUGUAAGUAACUGUGCACAUCUUGACGGUACCUAAUCAGAAAGCCACGGCUAACUACGUG